ACUUCUUCAGAUGUCAACUGCACCAGAGCAGAGAGACAACGGACAAACACUUAGCGCGAGCUCGUUAGCUUGGUGGGGAAGUAACGAUUCUUUGACCAAAAGCUUCUCCAGCCUGAAUAAAGUAAUGAGGUAGACAGUCGGACAGCUGACUACACUUUCCUGGAGUACAACAGACUGGCAGUGCCACGGUGAAAAUGGACAAGGAGUUUGAAGACAUAGACUCAGAGGGCCGGUGGCAAAAACUGUACCUAGAAAUAAGGAAUCAGUCUCACGAGUGCUCCUACAAAGUGGCAAAGUAUCCAGAGAACCGCAACCGAAACAGAUACAGAGAUGUCAGUCCAUUUGAUCACAGUCGGGUGAAGCUGAAGAGCGCAGAUAAUGACUACAUCAACGCAAGUCUGGUAGUCAUGGAGGAAGCCCAGAGAAGCUACAUAUUGACUCAGGGCCCGCUCAGGAACACCUGCGGCCACUUUUGGCUCAUGAUCUGGGAGCAGAAGACCAAGGCGGUCAUCAUGCUCAACAGGGUCAUCGAGAAAGGCUCAGAAAAGUGUGCCCAGUACUGGCCCACAGCCGAUGAGAGGGAGAUGGCCUUCAGAGACACACGUUUCUUGGUCACGCUGUUGUCGGAAGACAUCAAGUCUUACUACACCACCAGAGUGCUGGAGCUGCAGAACAUGAGUACGGGGGAAAAGAGAGAGAUCUACCACUUUCAUUACACCACGUGGCCUGAUUUUGGUGUCCCAGAGUCACCGGCAUCCUUCCUCAACUUCCUCUUCAAAGUGCGGGAAUCGGGAACACUGGGGGUGGAUCACGGGCCGGCUGUAGUGCACUGCAGCGCUGGAAUUGGACGCUCGGGGACGUUUUCAUUAGUCGACACGUGUGUGGUCCUGAUGGAUAAGAGGAAAGACCCCUCAUCAGUAGACAUCAAAAGCAUCCUGCUGGACAUGAGAAAGUACCGCAUGGGCCUGAUCCAGACCCCUGACCAGCUGCGCUUCUCCUACAUGGCUGUCCUCGAAGGAUCCAAGUACAUCAUGGGAGACUUGUCUGUACAGAAACAGUGGCGGGAGUUGUCCAAAGAGGAUCAGGAGCCGACAUCAGAGUCUCCGCCCUCAACUCAGCCUCAGGCCAGGUGUCCGACAGAGCGACACAACGGCAGCCAAUGGGGAGGUCAGCUGGAGGAGGGAGAGGACUACAGACAGGACAGCAAAGUACCAGCACCAUCUCCCUGCAAGGAACAGGAACAGGAUGGCGGCACAACAAACAAACGACGCAGAGAGGACAGCAUCUCCAAAUCAGGCACAGCCAAGACACCCCAAAGCAAGCCAAGGACAAAUGACUCAGAGAAGAAGAGAAAAAGUUUGGGCUGCAUUUGCUGCACAUGACAAGAGCUGGCCUGUCCAGUGGGGGGCAGUGUAUCGUUACCCCCCUCUGUGACAGCAACAACAACCUUGAGGAGCACAUUUAGAGGACGAAGUUUACCCACAGCUUUUAAAAAGAACGCCUACUCUUGUACAUGGAGGGCGAAAACCAGUGACUGCUAACCACCUCCACCUGCAGCCAUGCACCUAUAGCUCUGGCAGCGAAGCCAACAUCGGCAGGGAUCUCCAGCUCUCUCCCAACCUCUGUGUCCUUCCUCCUCAACUCCAAACCAUUCUUCCUCACCUCCACCUCAACAGCCAGUUCUCCUCUUGUUAUUGCUUUUAUUUUUGUCCCAGCCCUGAAACAUUAUUCAGCCACCAAACACACCUCCCUCUUCAUCCACCCGUUAGCGGCAUGUCACUCCUCAGUCCUCCACCUCACAGGUCCCUCGUGUCUCCUCACCCUCUCUAAACUGUUUACAGCAGACACUUCGACAUUCUUUGAAGACAGCACAUUUGAAGAGAAGAACACACCAGCGCUCUCUCCCUCCGUCACACCUCAACCACAGCCUAUGCUGCUUCUGGAGUCAUAAUUUUAUUUUUUUUUUAAUUUGCUUUAAUAAUAUUAUUUGCAGCUUUGUCAUUCUGUUAUGCUUCUUUGCAUUUAUGCAUUCAAGACUGAUACUAGGAGCUAUGCAUUGCCAAUUUGUAAUGCUGUUCAUAUGUGUAUUUUUAGAAAAACCUUUUUCAGAGGCAAAAAUAAAUAUGCUCUAUUUUUUAUAAGGAAUUACUUGAAGUUUUUCACAGUGUUGGGGGUUGUGCUGCCUCCUCCCACAUGAGAAAUUCAGUGGCAUGUAAUGUCCAUGAUGUACAUAGUGUUCUUUUUAAAAAGAUGUGUAAAAAGACAUAUUUUUGCUUGUUUAAAAAAAAAAAAAAAAAAAGGACAAUGUUACAUAUUUGAAUACAGUAGAAAGCUGAUUUGAUGACUUGUUCUCCUUUUGAAAUGAAAUCGUCUUAAGUUUCUCUUUCUCUUAGAGUGUAAUCUACAAAUAAAACUGGUAUUAUCUAGU